rnacentral:rRNA from 1 species
UACAGAGGUCUCAAGCGUUUGUUCGGAUUCAUUGGGCGUAAAGGGUGCGUAGGUGGCGGGGUAAGUCAGGUGUGAAAUCUCGGGGCUCAACCCCGAAACUGCACUUGAUACUGCCUUGCUCGAGUACUGGAGAGGAGAUUGGAAUUUACGGUGUAGCAGUGAAAUGCGUAGAUAUCGUAAGGAAGACCAGUGGCGAAGGCGAAUCUCUGGACAGUUACUGACACUGAGGCACGAAGGCCAGGGGAGCAAACGGGG